AUCGACCGGUCGGACAUCUGCGUGCCCGACCCACAAGUGGAGGCUCCGCACUCCCACCUCGCCGGCUCACGGUCGGCAGGUCUCCGGUCAGACGGUCACCAUCGUUCCGUACGGACGAUGGAACCGUCCGAUAGCCCCACGGGUGCACCGUGGCGGUGUUCCGGUUGCAAUGGAGCCCCGCCUGUGUCCCGUCCGGGGCAUUUUUU
rnacentral:ncRNA from 1 species